rnacentral:lncRNA from 1 species
AGGCUCACUAUUACCAAGCCCACCUCACGAUGAUACGAUGUCGGCUAGCAAAAAUAAUAAUGAGAGGGUACACUUACCCAUUCACAACAACCUCUUGUGAUUACCCAUCUUUUUGGCCUCUAGAAAACAAUGCCUCACGAUGAUACGAUGUUGGCACCAUUUCUCUUAGUUAAGUUCUUUCCCACCAUGCCGGUUUAGAUAGGGGUCCAAGUAUGACCUCAUGAUGAUACGAUGUUGGCCACACUCGUUGCCUACCUUCACCUCAUCAAAUGUUUUAAAUAAAUUCCUCCUGAGUAUAAGCAUGCACUUUGCACUCCCCCAUGAUAUGAUGAAGGCGGUGUACAAGUCAUAAACGAUUGGAGCCUACCACGGUGGAAGGCCACGAAAAAGUGUUCAAAGCACUCUUACGCUUUCAACUUAAUAUUGUAUGUGGGUUGAGGGAUUUUAAGGUCUCAUCAAUUUUAUUUAUUUAAUCACAUUCAAAUAAAUUGAGUCCUAUUAUAACUACUAGUCCAAAGUUAAUGAAAUUAGUAGCAUAUGAUAUCCCCACUAUUCGUUUUCAUAAAACAAAUCAAUAUCAAAACAUUUUUCAAAAUAUUGGAGAUAUAUAUAACUACUAAUUGUGUUCAUUAUAGUUUAGUAGCGUAUGAUACUCCCACUAUUUGUUUUAGGAAAAACAAAUCAAUAUCAAAAACGAAUUUUUCAAAUAUUGGAAGUAACUACCACUACUACGGUUUUUGCAUUCCUUUGUAAUUGGACUUUAUAGUUAUCUUAGGCUCUUGGAUGACCAUGGACUUAUUGGGUUAUUGCAACAACGAGCCAACAUUGUUGAAUAAGAACUCAGGGAGGUUGUGUCAAUUUAAUUACGUGCUUUUCAAUCCAAUUAAAACAUUUUCAUCGAGCCAUUAGAAAUGAAAGACAAUCAUUCAUUGCUAAUUAGGGCGUUGGACCCAUUUAAUCUUUAAUCUCAUGUCAAAACCCUCUUUUAGUUAUGUCUCCUUACCAAUAGUUAAAGAAACUCUAGUCUAGCACUAGAGGGAAUCAACUAACUAAAAGAGAUUAAGAAGUAAUAAGAAUUACAAACCGAUUUGUACAAAUUCCUACAAAUUACACAUACUAAGAGGGAGAGAUAGAUUAAUGUCCAACGUGACAAGGUCCAAUUGAAACAGUAAUUAAAACACAUUCCCAAGGUUCAAACAAUUUGAAUUUUGCGCCUUAUCUCAUAGCUCAAUUAUCGUUUAAGGCAUAAGUCCAUAGUCACCCAUUUUUCUAACUACUUAAUCACAUUAAAUAAUCAUAUGGAAUGCAACAUAAACAUUUAGAUUUAGUGCAUAUGAGCAUAAUAGUAUUAUGAGUUUAAACAACUAACAUUAAAAUAAAAUAUUUUAACUUUCUAGUUAGUAGGGGCCUAAAUGUAAAUAUGAAAAAGUUAGGGGUCAAACCGUAAAUACUCAAAAGUAAAAAUAUCUUUUUUCAAAUUACAAAAAACCCCACAAGUGGGUAAUCCACUAGGGGAGGCCGGCCACAUAAAGGGGAGGAUGGGAAGUCUCACCCAUAUUGCAUUAAACCAAGUUAAAGUAGAAAAAUUAAAUUUUGCUUGUCACUUGGUUUUGCUUAAAGACUUUAGUGAAAAGGAUGAUGGAAAUUCUCCUAGUCAAGUCUAGGAUUUAAUAAAUUUUUGAGAUGGCUAUGGAUGGUAUGUACAUCAUCCAAAACCACAAAACAAUGCAUGAAAACCAAAUAAAACAAUUUUCACCAAAACCAAACCAUGAACACCAAGAACAAAACCAUGAACACAUUUUCAAGAUUUGUAUAUUCUUGGUGAUUUUUCAAACCCAAAAACAAAAGUGACAAGAUUUCUACUUUCUAGCUUUAAAAGGAUGUGUGAGUGUCUUACAAUAAAACACAAACACAUGCCAAAAAACUCCCCCAAAACCGUGCCUACCCUAUGGAACAAAACCCCAAAUUUUGUUCAAAACUCACUCUUCAUUCAUGCAUCCAAAACACCUUUUUGCAUGCAUAUCUUUUUCAACUCUUGAUUCACAUUUUUCAACAUUUGAAAAACAAAAGAUAAACCUACUUUGAAUGAAGAAACAAUAUGUCAAACUUGUUCAAAAACCCAAUCUUCAUUCAUGCAUCCAAAACACUUUUUGCAUGCAUAUCUUUUUCAACUAUUGAUUUACAUUUUUCAACCUUUGAAAAACAAAAGAUAAACAUACUUUGAAUGAAGCAAUAAUAUGUCAUACAUAAAAUUAAAACCCAUAUGCAUAAAAUCCAAAAGGACACAUCAUACAUAAACCUUUGGCUCUGAUACCACUUGAAGGGAAAUCUUUGAGAUUCAUGUGGGAUUUCUAGUGACUAGCAUGCAUAUACAAUUCAAAAUUUUUAUACAUAAGCAAUGGAAGCAUGUUAUCAAAUAAUAUCAAAGCUAUAGUCAUGCAAAUCCCCUUCAAGAUGUAUAGGUUUAUAUAUGAUGCAUCAAAACAUUUUAGUGAAGAACAAAGUGUAGGUUUAGUCUUAUACCUCUUGAUCUAAACUUUAGACCAAGGAUGGACCACCUCCAAGCCCUUUGUUCCUUGAACUCCUUGAGCCUAGCCUCCCUCCUUGCUUCCUCCACUUUGCUAGAAUGAGUGCUCCUUAGUUCUUCUUUAGUCUCCAAAGUAGAAGACCUCUAAAGAUCCACACCCACUAGUGUAGUGAGAUGGAUGGAGGAAUAACCAAAAGGAGAAGAGAUGAUUAGCUAAAACUCCUCUUGGUGGCUGGCCCUUUAUGUUUUAGAGAGAGAGAUAUGUUUUCUCCUUUGUUAAAUCAACACACAAAAACCCUAAUGAACUUUUCACUAUAAAGUUCAUUUUAUAACACAAAGAAACAAGUCAACAACUUGACUUUCUCUCUCUCUCUCUUUGGCCGGCCCUAUUGUGUUUUGUUUGGGCUUUGGGCUUUUAUUAUUUCAAGUCAUCCUAUGCUUGAAUAAAAGUCCAAUGGGUUUAGGCCCAAUGGGCCCAAUUAAACCCGAACGUUUCUUUAAGCCCAAAACGAUCUUAUAUCGCUUUUAUGAUUUCUUUAGACUUUCUAAUUAAUCACAACACUUAAUUAAUCCAAUUAAUUAUUUCCAUCAUCCAGUAAUUACUCACUACAAGAGUGUAUCGGUGUACAAUCAUUUUAGGUUCUAAUUAGCAAGGCAGUGAGG